rnacentral:misc_RNA from 1 species
UACGGAGGGGGCUAGCGUUGUUCGGAAUUACUGGGCGUAAAGAGUACGUAGGCGGUUUGCCAAGCCAGAUGUGAAAUCCCAGGGCUUAACCCUGGAACUGCAUUUGGAACUGGCAGGCUAGAGAAUGAUAGAGGUAAGUGGAAUUCCUAGUGUAGGGGUGAAAUCCGUAGAUAUUAGGAGGAACAUCAAUGGCGAAGGCAGCUUACUGGGUCAUUUCUGACGCUGAGGUACGAAAGCGUGGGUAGCAAACAGG